UGUUUUGUUGAUGAUUUUAAACAUUACAAGAAGAGUAAGAUGAUAAAACUAAAGGUGUCCGUGAACCGGAUCGGGUCUGGAGAGCUAAUAUACUGUAUCCGUACCCUAAAAAAAAAUGGUCAGAAAAAUAUAUAUAUACCUUACCAAUUUAACUUACUACAACAAAAACGGCCUAUAACGACACUUUUAAAUGUAGGUACAUGUCAAAAAAGUGCUGCUAGCUAAAAUUACCGACACUUUUAAAAAGUGUUGCUAUAUGUGGGGUCGCUAGGCAUAUAGUGACAGUUAAAGAGUGUCGCUAUAACCUAAAAGAGUGCUGCUAAUUUAUCAACAAUUAUUUAAGCAUUUAGCAACCGCCGAAACUCUAUCUCGUUGGCUGCGGUGGCGGAGGAGGACGACAGGAAAGGCUCUUCGUCUAGAAUUUCAGUGGAUUGAGUGAAGAGAGA
rnacentral:lncRNA from 1 species